UAAUCAAGUGUUUGCUUGGGACAUACAUAUUAGGUAUAGGUAUCUAUUAGACAGAUGUCCAAUUGGAGUGAGCUGUCAAAUAAAUACUAGAUAAGUUAGUCUAGAGUUGAGAGUAGAGCUCAGAGAUGGAGAUUUAAAUUUAUAUUUGGAAGUCAACAAUUGAGUUGAUAUUUGAGGGAAUGGGAUUAGAUGAAAUCACCUAAAUGGUUAGUAUAGACAAAGAAGAAAGACACAAAGAGUGAGCCUCACUGUAACUGAUUCGUAGCACUAAAGAUCCCAGAUUGUCAUCCCUUCUGCUAUACACAGUCUUUACCAUGUGUUUUGUAGGACCCUUCCAUCCUAUCUCUGGGCUUAGAGCUGCAACUUGCUUUGACAUAGCCAAGUGAUGCAAGCAGAGGGUCGUACAUUUCUGCUCAUGCUCCUUCUACUUUACCCUUACCAUGAGAAGAUAUGCCUGGGCUAGCCCCUCUGACCCUAGAAGGGCGAUGGUAGAUACAGGGUCAGCCACAGGUGCAUGAGUGAGCCCAGCUGAGUGCAGUCUUAGAGAUCAAUUAAACCCCACAGGAUGGGUUGUGGAUUGAAAGGCAAGGUGAGCCAAUAUUAUGCUUCCUACAACAAGCAAAUAAACACUAGAGAGACACUCUCCUUCACCUUGUCUGAGGCCAGCAAAAACGAUGCAAAACAACUUCAAAGCCACAUCACAAAAGAAUUCCAAGGGACCUCAUCUUUCUUAAAGCAAAGCAAAGUAUAGAGGUCCUCCCCCAAAAAGUUCACUCUGCAAAUCUUCAACACAGACUUUGUUUCUCUGGGAAGUCAAUGUAAGACAGCUGGCGUGAAGAGUUGUUUAAGGAAGAAAACCAUAAAACAAGAUGUUGGAGGUGGAGCACUGGAGAGAGAUAGAACACAUGCUGUAGCAGUGCAGUUGCUGGAAAAACAUGGAUGAGAAAACAGUGAAGGAGGACUCAUUGGUGAGCAAAAUGUCUCCAGAUUUUGAGAGAGUGAAGGGAGCAGUAAUUACAAGAACAAUGGAAUCUGAGGUCCUUUCUGAAGGUCAGUGAGAUUUAGGGUCAUUCAAAAAAGACAGCAAAGGUUGUGGAUGACCAUUUAGCAAUUGAAGGAGAGGCAUGGAAGUCAGAAGGCCUCCUUAGUGGUAUAUAAAGGUAUUCAUCUGAAACCGGAGUACAGCAAGGUGAGGAAAAAGCUUGGGAAUUAACUGUAACAGUGGCAGAGCUCCAAAGAAGGUUGAAUUCUCAGCCCUGGAAAGUCUGCUAACUAUGGUGGGGGAAGAGUGGGGUCUUGAAAAUUCACCCUUCUUUGAUAAUUGGCCCUGAGAAUUGUGAUUACAAUAUUUUAGUCAAUGCAAUCAUAAACCUUGAUUUUCAAGAUCUCCCCAAACCAUUUGUGUUUUAGAAGUCGCUCACUGGUUCAUAUUAAAGGUCAACUUUCCCUUCAAUCUACCUUGCUUGAGGCAGUUGCAGGGGACUCUGCUUUGCAAGAAAAUCAGUGCUUCCCAUCUCAGGAUCUACCUGCAUUCACCUCCCUCCUUGGUUACCAGACCAAUAAGUAGGGUUAAAGUACUGUAUAAUUCAGGUGAGAAAGUACUGGGAUUAUUAAGGGUAGAAAGGAACUUCAAAGGAGUUGUAGAACCUAAUCAACAUGUAUUAGCAGAAGCUGGGAGAGCACAUGGGCUGGAUCCUGAGGAUGCAAGAUUGAGGAAGCAUGGGCAGAAACAGUUAAACUGUAUAGCAUUGACUGGGUCACGUUGCUAGUCAGGGAGGAAACUGUUAGUGGAGCCCGGAAAAAAUGAGGAGGGUAUAAAAGGCAAUAUCAGCUCUUGAAAUCUGGUUGCAAAACAUUUGUCAAAGCUAUGGCCUAAGAUAAUCUAGAGCAUAGAAAAUGUACCUGAUCUAAAGUAAUGC